GGGGGAUAUUGCACAAUGGGGGAAACCCUGAUGCAGCGACGCCGCGUGGAGGAAGAAGGUUUUCGGAUUGUAAACUCCUGUCGUUAGGGACGAAUCUUGACGGUACCUAACAAGAAAGCACCGGCUAACUACGUGCCAGCAGCCGCGGUAAAACGUAGGGUGCAAGCGUUGUCCGGAAUUACUGGGUGUAAAGGGAGCGCAGGCGGACCGGCAAGUUGGAAGUGAAAUCUAUGGGCUCAACCCAUAAAUUGCUUUCAAAACUGCUGGCCUUGAGUAGUGCAGAGGUAGGUGGAAUUCCCGGUGUAGCGGUGGAAUGCGUAGAUAUCGGGAGGAACACCAGUGGCGAAGGCGACCUACUGGGCACCAACUGACGCUGAGGCUCGAAAGCAUGGGUAGCAAACAGGAUUAGAUACCCUGGUAGUCCAUGCCGUAAACGAUGAUUACUAGGUGUUGGAGGAUUGACCCCUUCAGUGCCGCAGUUAACACAAUAAGUAAUCCACCUGGGGAGUACGACCGCAAGGUUGAAACUCAAAGGAAUUGACGGGGGCCCGCACAAGCAGUGGAGUAUGUGGUUUAAUUCGAAGCAACGCGAAGAACCUUACCAGGUCUUGACAUCCGAUGCAUAGUGCAGAGAUGCAUGAAGUCCUUCGGGACAUCGAGACAGGUGGUGCAUGGUUGUCGUCAGCUCGUGUCGUGAGAUGUUGGGUUAAGUCCCGCAACGAGCGCAACCCUUAUUGCCAGUUACUACGCAAGAGGACUCUGGCGAGACUGCCGUUGACAAAACGGAGGAAGGUGGGGAUGACGUCAAAUCAUCAUGCCCUUUAUGACCUGGGCUACACACGUACUACAAUGGCGUUUAACAAAGAGAAGCAAGACCGCGAGGUGGAGCAAAACUCAAAAACAACGUCUCAGUUCAGAUUGCAGGCUGCAACUCGCCUGCAUGAAGUCGGAAUUGCUAGUAAUCGCGGAUCAGCAUGCCGCGGUGAAUACGUUCCCG
rnacentral:rRNA from 1 species